rnacentral:misc_RNA from 1 species
AAAGCUGGCUCAUCUUAAAUGCAUUAGCUGGAUUUGUUUGAUACUAUGGUUCGACUUGGUGUAAUAAGUAUUUUGCCAAGGACAUCUCCUGUGGGUGGCCAGUAUCAGGCAGCAGUCUGCUUUCUAAUCUAUGAAUCUUUUCAGAGACAUGACUUUUAUUAUUUGGCCUCAAAUCAGGUAGGACUACCCGCUGAACUUAA